GACGAACUGUGCGAACGUUGUUCGGAAUCACUGGGCUUAAAGGGUGCGUAGGCGGCCCGUUAAGUCGGGGGUGAAAUACUUCGGCUCAACCGGAGAAUUGCCUUCGAUACUGGCGGGCUGGAGGAAGGUAGGGGGUCGCGGGAACUGCCAGUGGAGCGGUGAAAAUGCGUUGAUAUUGGCAGGAACGCCGGUGGUGAAGACGCGCGGCUGGACCUUUUUCUGACGCUGAGGCACGAAAGCCAGGGGGCAGCAAACGGG
rnacentral:rRNA from 1 species